GCUUAUGUGGUGCUGAGGGCCGCAUGCAUGCAAGGCAAGCGCUCUACCAUUGAGCCACAUUCCCAGCCCAACUGCAGUUGUUUUAUUUCAAAGCCUGGAGACAGCUGGAGGGGGCACAUGAUGUGACCCUGCCAGUCUGAGAGUUGGUGGCUAGAAGACUUACAUAGCAGUGGAAAGGAUGCAGCCAACAUGAGGUGGCGUUACUUGGCUUCAACUUUAUUACACAGUGUAUAACAAAGACGUAAAAACCAAAUCUAUUUUGACUUAUAGUCACUAUUGGAUUUUAAAGAUGAAUUUAAAAAACAAGCUAUUACAUGUUCCUUGGAAAAAAUAACAUGUAAAUAAAAUUGGAUCAUGUUCUUAUAAAAUUG